GGCUCCUUAGCAAGUGUUAUGGCUCCUUUGCUGUUAUAGUAGAGUGGUAUGGCAUUUGAUGUCAUAACUUUAAGUUUCAUAACAAACUUCUUAAACUAGAAGCCUUUCAUUGCAGCAUCUGAAGCAGCAACAUACUUAGCCUCCCUGGUCGAAUUCGCUAUGAUGGGUUGCUUGAAACUCUUCCAACUGAUUGCACCACUAUUGCAAACGAACACA
rnacentral:lncRNA from 1 species